rnacentral:lncRNA from 1 species
UGUAAAAUUACCGUUUUAUAAAAAAAACAUUAUAUAUAAUUUCAAAAAUAAUAAAUAUAUGUAAGCAUACGACAUAAAAAAAUGGAAAUACUACAUUAAAAAUAUGUAAGAUUACUACUAUACUAAUAAAAUGGACCUUUUGAGGUUCGAUAGAGCGUCCACAUCAGCAAAAAAAAUUUCUCCCGAAAGAUGACUUGUGGCAUAAAAUAUAGUUUUACAUUUUAAUAUUACUAAUUUUCGAAAAUUAUAAAUAAUAUGUAAACAUGCAUCAUAAAAAAUAGAAAAACUACAUUAAACAUAUGUAAAAUACCAUUUUUCACUUAAAAAAAGGC